CCUCCAAACCCAUUAGAUUCGAUUCACGAAGCUUCACCAGAUCGCCUCCUCCUCCUCCUCAAGAUCCAGUCGCAACUUCAAUGCCCUCACUUUGGUCCCGCACUUGCUUUUAUCCCAAGAUAUCAUUGCUUCCCUCUCUUCUUCAAGAAAAAGAACGCAAGCGGAUCCUCGUGGAAGUAGCAUCGCCAAGCAGGUUCCGGAGCAGCGAUAGAGAUCGGCGACGAUAAGAGGUUCGGGCUCGCGAUGGCGACCAAACCAAUGUUCUGAGCAGCGGCGAGCAGGUUUACUUCAAGCGACGGCGAGAAUCAAAGCGAUUUCUGAUUCUUCCACUGGUUUGAAGAGCGUUUGAUUUCCGACAGUUUUUAUUAUCAUUUCGUGUUUGGAUAGUCUGAAAUUUAUAAUUCAAGAAGAAAUCAAUCACUUAAAUUACUCUCCCAUUGCACUUUUGGGACUAUUGAUUUUGAGUUUUGGCGAAUUGUACUCACGUAGGCAGGGAUCGAUGAAGAAGGAAGAACAUGCUCGUAGUUUGUUUGGAAUUUCUCUCUCGGACAGACCCAGAUGGCAACAAUUCGUCAUUUGUUCUUUUGGGUUGUUCUUUGGUUAUCUCGUUAACAGAAUCUGUGAGGCAGAGGGGAAGCGUGGGAAAGGGGAUGUUGGGUUUUCAUCGAAAAUGAAACAGAGAAUAAAAGGAAGAUGAUGGGUUUCUUUUUCCGGAGAACAUGUUAGAUCCGUUGGGAGAGAAGAAUUUGUGGCUGAUUUGUUGGGCGACCGUGGAUAAUAUUUUGUGGCUGACUCCGAACCGGGUUCACGAUUUUGUUGGGUUCUGGGAUCUUUCUGGAAAAAGAUUGCUUUUGGCCGAAGAAGAUUGAAGAAGCGCGGCUGCGUGGGAUUUUUCUGGAUUUUUUUUAAAAUUUUUAAAAUAUGUCACAAGGGCCGUGGCUGCUAGCAAUGCGGAUAAUGGUCAAAUUGACUGUUGAUCAACGCGAUCAAGCUAUCAUACCUAAAAGAAAAAUAUUUCGGUGAAA